CCGUAAGGUAACAUACACGAGUAUUAUUUCACGGUUAAAAUAUAUUUUAUUAUACAUUUGGCAUAUCAAUAACAUAUAUUCAAACAAACGAAAAAGUGUCUUAAAAUUUGUAAUAGAAAACCAAUACAUUAGACUUGUUCCGGGGUGUCGACACUUUAACUUCAAUUAUCAGAGGACAGUACACCACGAAGAUUAUAUCGAAACGAAAAAUAUGGUGAGUUUAAAUUAAACCGAAUUGCACGAUUUCUUUUUCUGAUUAAUCAAAUAUGGGUGAUCCGGGAAAAUUAUUUUUUCUGUAACAGCAUUGGACUAUGAUGCAAGAAUUUGGUUUGCAAAAUUGAAGGAAAUUUAUUGUGCGCACUGUUUCGAUAAAUAAGAAAUCAUGUAUACAUAGCGUACGGUGUAUCGUUUAUAGCGGAAAUGCUUUUUAUUGUGGCAAAGCAGGGUUAAACCAUAAUAUUUUAGCACCUGUUACGUGUGUAGUCUGUUACGUAUGUAGUUAUUUAUAUCACAUACAAAAGAUAUUUUAAAAGGACAAGACGUUCAAGAAAUGCGAUUUAACAUGAAGGAAGAGGUGUUGAACAGUUAUUUGUACUUUGGUGUUAUACUGCUACUCACAUAAAGCCUAAAGUAUUUAAUUAUUUAGACCAUAUUGUUGCUAUUUAAAAAAAUCAGGUCAUGUGCUCGAGGUUAUUGGGAACGAAGGUCGUUUAAAUGGAAAAUUUGAUAAUAAUUGACUCUUUUUAACAUUAUAUACUAUUCUUUUCUUUUUUUUUCAGAUUAAUAGUAAAAGCAUAAUUUGCAUUGGCUAUGCAUUCCUGUUUCUGAUUCAAUAUAUAAAAAAGAAGAUGUGGUAUGAUUGCCAAUGAGACAACUGUCCACAAAAGACUAAAAUGACACAGACAUUAACAUUAACAUAUGUUUGUUCUAGUAAGUUUAACUUGAUUAAAAUUAGUCCGGUACAGUACUGCUUUCUCAUUUACUUUUCACCUCACAUCAGAUUAUUUCUUAACUUUCUGUAGGAUUUUAUCUGGAAUUCAUUUUGAACAUAUACUAUUACACAAUAGUUCUGCAUUACGCAUGUUACAGGCAGAAUAUACCCGCGAUGUCUGUUUCAUACAUUUUUACAACGUUUGCUUCCAAAAUUACCAAAGUAUUUAACUUAUCUACAGAGUAACAGCUAUCCGUAGGAACUAAAUUGUUUCAAACAUAUGUUUGAACUGCGUUUUCUAUUGUCUUUCUGGAGGGUAAAAUUGCGGUUGUACACCUUGAAUGGCGUUAAAACAUAGAAGUUAUAUAAAAAAGACAACAUCUAUUCCAAUGGAUUUACCAUAAAAAUACAUAGUAACAAUUCAAACAACUUAACAUGUUACCCAAGCACAAGAACGUUUAGAUAUAUACACUAAGACUUAAUGGGAAUAUCGAAUCGGCAUGCCCUAGAUCAAGAAAGAGAAUGCAAUAUAUAUUUUAAAAAAAUGCAGAAAUUCAUAUUCAAGAUUGACCAGUAUGUGAAGGAAAAAUGUAAAUGUGAGUUGUGAAUACGACAUACAUUGGUCAUCUUUGAUAAAGAUAUGUCCAAAAUGCAGAUAAAUGCUCAUUCAAAUGUGGAAUAUUAUGUAUGACAGACAGAUAGAUAGAUAGAUAGAUAGAUAGAUAGAUAGAUAGAUAGAUAGAUAGAUAGAUAGAUAGAUAGUUAGAUAGAUAGAUAGAUAGAUAGAUAGAUAGUUUAUUCUCUUACCAAGUACAAAGGUUAUUGAGAUGUUAAAAAAUAAUAUACGUAAAAAUAAAAAUGCAUCAACAAUGCAUAAAAUUAAAAAUUUGUGAUGAGAUAACAUGUAUGCGAGAAAAGUAUAUUCCAUAUAGAUAGAUAUAAUAGUAGUAGAAGAUAGAUAGAUAGAUAGAUAGAUAGAUGAUAGAUAAUAGUAGAUAGAUAGAUAGAUAGAUAGAAGAUAGAAGAUAGAUAGAUAGAUAGAUAGAUAGAUAGAUAAUAGAUAGAUAGAUAGAUAGAUAGGAUAGAUAGAUUUUAUUCUCUUACAAGUACAAAGGUUAUUGAGAUGUUAAAUAUACGUAAAAAUGCAUCAACAAUGCAUAAAAUUAAAAAUUUGUGAUGAGAUAACAUGUAUGCGAGAAAAGUAUAUUCCAUCAUGAAGUUCCUGAAUGUAGUUUGAAAUAUAACCAUAGCAAGAUCACCAUUCAACUAAAUUUACAUCAAUUUUUAGAUCAUGUGUGUUAAUUUUACCUACGUUCUCAAUCAGCUACUACAAUUUAUGUGCUGGUGAAGGCUAGAAUUGAGACAAGCUUCGAUAAAUCUAUGUUUUCCAUUGUACAAAUGUCCUAAUCAAACAAUAGACAGUUGAUUUUGCAAUGUCAACACCAUAAGGCGGGAGAUACAAAGAAAACAUUUAAAAAGUCAUGAGAAACUGAAAACGCCGUAGCAAAAAACAAAAGAAAAAAAAGAACAAUCAUGUCCACUAUGUCUUGAAAAGAUACCCAUAAGUAACUAAUGUGCAACACGAAUACCAUCUAAAAAUGGGAGCAAACGCAAGUUUAAUCAGUUAACUGAAUGUGAAUCAACGAGACAUGCCAAUACAUAUGAUUUUGCCUUGAUAGGUUUUGUCAACGUACCAAUAGUUGAAUUAUCAUAGUAUACAAAGGCAUUAUUGUAAAAUUUGAAAAGGUCAAAGGUCAUACCAACAGCGGACAAGUUCAUAACAGAGAAGCAAAAGAUACACGAGGGACAGUCAAACUCGAAAAUAAACGGACAACUCCAUAGUUAAAAAGACAUAAAAAAAACAAGACAAACAAUUUUGCACAAAGCAUAACAAAGAAAACGUAAGACUGAGCAACUCAAACCAACCACAAAAUGGGUGCAAUGCGCAAUAACUUAAACACAAACGAGAGGUGAAAAAUACCAAAAGGAAAGCAAACUCAUAAUUCAAAGAAAAUCUGAGAAAGUCAUGGCAAAAAAACAUGAAAAAUAAACAACAAAAAACUACGGAACAGAAGUCUACAAAACGAAGAGAAAAAACUCAGCAACUUUACCCAAAAAGAGUCCGGGAAAUUUCUAGUGCUCCGAAAGGGUAGGCACAUUUAAAUACUGAAAGUCUAACGAAAUACCAUACAUGCAUGCUGGCUAGAAUAGGCUUUGAAUUAUAUAUAAUUUGAAGGACUAUUUCAUAAAAAGCAGAAUCCACUUUAAACCAUACUGAUCAUUGUUACCACAGUUUCUUUUAAAAAUGUGGAUUACUUGUCGUUUCGGUGUCCAAAGUCAAUUGCAGUAAUUUAAAUUAUAGAGUACUAAAAAAAGUGAAUCGACCAAAUGCGCUUUUCUUAAAUUUAUUAUACUUCAGUUAUUAUUUUUAGAUAAAAUAAGUACACAUUAUGUUCACUAUUGAACCGGUCAAUUAAUUGGACCUCACUGAAUCUAUUUCACCUAAAGCGUCAUUGUAUUUUGCGGAAAUGUAAAUAGAGCUACAAGAUUGGAUUAUGUUAAGAAUGUUGUGGGAUUAACGACGUCGCGUUUUACUUAUUGUACAUAUGGUUGAUGUCAGUGCAAGACGUAGCCUUAGAAUUCAAAAUACUGUAAAUUCAGAAAUUAUUGCGAGGUUUUUAUUUUUGCGAAAAUUGCGACACAGUUGUAAACGCAAUAAUUUAAACUCGCAUUUUGAAAUAUUUUAUAUGAAUUAAACUGGAUUUUUUCUCAAAAUUGUAAAAAUUAAAAUCGCAUUUAAGUCUAAAAUGACAAAAUCACAUUUAAGUCUAAAAUGACAAAAUCGCAAUAAUAAAUGAACACAAUAAUUUCUGAAUUUACAGUAUAUAUGAAGUGAAGGUGAAAAGUAAGGUUAUGUUUAUGAUUUUUAUAUUACGAUAGUAACUCGUACAAUUAAGAAACAAAAUUGACGUAUGUGUACUUAAUCUAUGUUAUUUUUUUUUUUCAUUUACAGAUACACAAUCACCACCAGAACAGACUGGUAAAAGUGUAUGUUUAUUUAUUUAUUGAAAACAAACGAUUCGAUUAAUAAAAAAUAUGUUUUUUAUAUCAUUUAUGGAUAAAAAGUAAAAUCACAAAAAUACUGAACUCAGAGGAAAAUCAAAUCGGAAAGUCCAUAAUUACAUGGCAAAAUCCAAUGACAAAACACAUCAAAAACAAAUGGACAAGAACUGUCAUAUUCCUGACCUGGUACAGGCAUUUUCAAAUGUAGAAAAUGGUGGAUUAAACCUGGUUUUAUAGCGCUAAACCUGUUAUAUUCCUGACCUGGUACAGGCGUUUUCAAAUGUAGAAAAUGGUUGAUUAAACCUGGUUUUAUAGCGCUAAACCUUUCACUUUGUUGACAGUCUCAUCAAAUUCAUCGGACUUUUCCAUACAAGUAUACCAAUACAUAUCUCAAUAACUUUUCCGAUUUGUUUUGCCGUGGAACCCAAUUUUUUUUUUCAAAAUAAAACUAUCAUGAUUGCUGAUUUUGAAUAGAAUAUAUUAUAUCCAAUAUAAGAACAGAAUCGUAUAAAUUAAGUUAAAUCGAUAUUUGAAGUGGGAGAUCUAUAAAAUUGGUAUUCGACGUCGACUUUAUUAUAGAAUAUAUAAGACAAAUAACAAAACGUAAUGGGAUAGUGUAAGAUGAUUCUUUGUAAGCUCAUGGCUGUUAAGAUACAGAAAAAGUGUUUACAAAAAUACCGAACUCUAAGGUAAAUUCAAAUUGGGAAGUCCUUAAAAUAGUGUGUAAAGUACAAAACACAGAUUGAGGUAAUGGUCAUUACGAUGUGCUAUGUGCAAUACAUGACUGUAACGGGUGUUGGGAAAACGGAUAUUGAAGUAAAACAAUGUACUUUUUUUUAUUUUAGUUAAGAAUACAAUUCAUGAAUAUAAAUUUAAUAUAUUUUUUUUCUUUUACAGGAAGCAAGGCCUGUGCAACAUUAACUGUCAGUUAUUAUUUGUUGAUUUUGUGUUUCUAUGCUUGUGCCAUUUCCUCCCAGAUAACAUAAGUAUAUAAACUCAUCGUAGGUACCAGGAUUGAUGUUACACCAAAAUGAUCGGGUAGAACUGAUAAAAACUUGAUAAUCAUUUCGUUUUUUUACAGAUAUUGAUAGAUGUGUUUAUACUGAUGAAAGCGUGUUU
rnacentral:lncRNA from 1 species